rnacentral:rRNA from 1 species
AGUGAACGCUGGCGGCAGGCCUAACACAUGCAAGUCGAACGGCAGCACAGUAAGAGCUUGCUCCUACGGGUGGCGAGUGGCGGACGGGUGGGGAAUACAUCGGAAUCUACUUUUUCGUGGGGGAUAACGUAGGGAAACUUACGCUAAUACCGCAUACGACCUACGGGUGAAAUCAGGGGAUCUUCGGACCUUGCGCGAUUGUAUGAGCCGAUGUCGGAUUAGCUAGUUGGCGGGGUAAAGGCCCACCAAGGCGACGAUCCGUAGCUGGUCUGAGAGGAUGAUCAGCCACACUGGAACUGAGACACGGUCCAGACUCCUACGGGAGGCAGCAGUGGGGAAUAUUGGGCAAUGGGCGCAAGCCUGAUCCAGCCAUACCGCGUGGGUGAAGAAGGCCUUCGGGUUGUAAAGCCCUUUUGUUGGGAAAGAAAAGCAGCAGGUUAAUACCCCGCUGUUCUGACGGUACCCAAAGAAUAAGCACCGGCUAACUUCGUG